GUGCAGCCAUUUAAGCCGACCAUGCUCUUGCCCCAGGGGGCUGGGUGUGCAGUGGCUGCAGAUAGUAAGUGACCCCAGUCUGUGGCUUGUAUGGGCUAUAAUAUGAAACCUCGCAGAUAGUC
rnacentral:snoRNA from 1 species